rnacentral:lncRNA from 10 species
UUAUUGUAUGUACAAAUAGAGAAUGGAAGAACAAAAGAAUGAGGAAAGGAAGCAAGAAAGGAAGGAAGAAAGGGUGGGAGGGAGGAAGAACGGAAGGGAGGGAAAGACAAAUUUCUUCUCAUUCUUUAUCCCUCUUUGAGAUGCCUCUCUGUGGAUCCUGUCACCUCUACUGGGGAGCAAAAAGAACACAGAAGUUGGAGCCGACGGAUCCCAUGCCUAGCUGGGUAAUUAGGCAAAUCUCAGCCUCUGGAAAUGCAGCUUCUUCUGUAACCUACCUCAGAGGGCUGUUGUGAGGAUUGAAUGGGGUAACAUUUAAACUAACUGGCAAAAGCAGGUUCUCAAUAUAUUAAAAUUCACAUGAAAAAGAUAAACCAGGAAGGGAGUUGGCAGGAAGCCAGGAAGCCUCCUGUGUUCUCUGCAGGAGGCUUAUCUAGUUCAUCAGGAUCUUGGGAACAGCUAGUCUUCCUCUGCUGCAUUCUGAGAGUUAGGUGAUGAGUCACCACCUCAAGAGGCCAUCUAGUUCUGGCCGAUCUAUCUGACUGGAUCGUGGACCCUAGGACCCAGCUAACUUGUUCUCCAGCCAAUUUAGAAGAAUGAGUAGCAAAAAUAAUAUGGCAAGUAUUUCUUGAAGUGCCCUAACCCUCUGUCCUUAUUAGUGUACCCUGUCAGGAGUGGCCUGCCUUGACUUUCUGUCAAACUGGAGCAGCCUGAGACUAAGGGCAAAUGCCCUCUUGGCCUUGGCCGGCCACAACUUGGAUAUGCAGGUCAGGCUUAUUGUUAGGGAAGCUCUGAGACUCAAUUAAUCUGAUGCCUUUUUAUUAUGAGUUCAGGUGCAGCUCCAUUUACAAGUUUUUCUUUCAAAAUCAUUCAGCCAUUAAAGCUGCAUAAUCUUGGAAGGUUUUGAAGACGCAUGAUUGGUAAAUGUUUUUCCCCUUCACACAUUAUCUCUCAUGUUUAUUCAUGAAAAGUGAACCAGUCUUAUAAUUUAAACAGUGUCUUGGGGUAUCUGGCCUCCUGUAUUUCUAAGGGGGAGGAAAGAUGAGGCUAGCCCAGAAGCCAUUUAAAAAGGGGAUUUGAGGCCUGAACGCAGAGAACUCAAUCCCAGGUACUAAUGACCUUGCUUUGGCUUGCAAGACUAAGCCUGAGGCCUGUGGCACUUAAGAGGGUUACUGGGUACCCAGACAGGCAAAUGCCUGUUGAUUGGAUGGCUAAAUUGUGAAGAAAGCAAAGCUUACCUGUGCAAUGUGUCCAUGCCUUCAUUCCUACUUUCUGAAUCAACAGUGCCUGUUAUUGUUCUGCCCAACUGUUAAGAUGUUCCACCUGUGCCUGCUCUUUGGCGCAGUACUCCAGGCUAUAGAUCAACAUUUCUCAAACCUGGCUGCACAUUAGAGUCAUCUGGGGAUCUUUUAAAAACCCAGCUGCCUUGGCUGCACAUCUGAUCAUUACGUCAGACUCUUGUAGGGAGGAGUAUAGACAUCAGCAUUGAUUAAAACUCCUGAGAUAAUUCCAAUGUGCAGUCAGGAUUGAGAACAGCUGGUCUACACCAGUUCCUCUUGAAGUAUGGUCUGUAAGUCACAGGCUGCAGAAUCUCCUUGGAUGUUUGUGGGAAAUGCAGAUUGCUAGGUUCACCAGCCCUAUAGGCACUGAGUCUCAAGGUGAGAUCUGGAAAAUGUGUUUUAAUAAGCUCCCCAGGUGAUUCCUAAGCUUUUUGCAAGUACCGCUGCUUCUUAUGAUAUGGCCGUUCUUGCUUCCCAUCAGUUAUCCUUGUCUUUCAGUUCCUCAAAGAUAUCAAGUUUCAUUCAUCCUCAGGACCACUGCAUAUGAUAGUCGCUCUACUUGGAAGACAUUUUCCUCUUUCUCCUUGUUAUUAGGCAUUUGGCAGACUUAACAAUGAGGCUAUUGUAACCCCAGAAAGUCAUUGCAAAGUGCCUGCUUAGGGGGUUAAGAGUAGACACUGCAGGGCCUUGGAAUAGUAAUGGUUUACUAUUUAAUGAGUUCCCUGUCACUGGAAGUCAUAGAGAGAUUGCUCCAGGCAUGGUGGGAGAAAAGCCAGUUUGACAGGCGGUGGAGGGAUAAGAGGGAAGACUUGAGUGACGUGGCACAAACUGGGUCAGAUCUAUUAAAGAGGCAGCCCUGGGCAGCUGGCAAGAGAUCAUGUCAAGAGACACAAUGCAGGUGCCAGCAGGACCAGAAGAUCAGCUUCUUAGAGCGAGUGCCACCUGGAAGGGGGAAACCAAGGGAAGGGGCACAGCAAAGGGCAAAGCUGGGUGGUGGAGGAAGUACCCAAACAGAGGGAAGAGCCACUCUGGCCACAUCAAGUGAAUACUGAUGAUCGGGAAACAUUCAUGGGAAGUUAUUUCACUCUCUCGAGUCCAGUGUAAGUGAGAAAGUGUAAUUUAAUUUAAAAGAGCCUAAUUUAGCCUUCCAUCAACUGUAGAUCUUUUAACGAGACCUUUAUUCUUCUAGGACAGCAUUUCUCAAACUUUAAUGUGCGUAGGAAUCUUAUUAAAAUGCAGAUUCUGAUUCAGUACGUCUGGGGUAAGGGCUGAGAUUCAGCACUUCUAACCGGCUCCUAGAUGCCCCCGGUCUGAGCACUACACUUAGAGCAAGCAGGUUUGAACAUUGCGACUUAUAACAGUGGACCCAUGGUGUAGACAAGUCCAGAAAUGACUGCUGAAUCAACAGUUUUUAUGUUAGCUUCCGUAUACCUUCAGAAUUCAGUGUUUGUGUGCAUUCUAAUUCUCUAAAUGAUGUAUAUUAGAUUUCCAUUAACGAAAAUAUAUGUUUAAGUGGAACUCUCCAAUUCCAACUUGCCAAAUAAAAUAAAAAAUUCCUGUCAUUUU